UACGUAGGGUGCGAGCGUUGUCCGGAUUUAUUGGGCGUAAAGAGCGCGUAGGCGGCCCUGUAAGUCCGCUGUGAAAGUCAAGGGCUCAACCCUUGAAUGCCGGUGGAUACUGCAGGGCUAGAGUCCGGAAGAGGCGAAGUGGGAAUUCCUGGUGUAGCGGUGAAAUGCGCGAUAUCAGGAGGAACACCGAUGGCGAAGGCAGGCUCCGCUGGGACGGGUGACUG
rnacentral:rRNA from 1 species